rnacentral:rRNA from 1 species
UUUUCCUACGGGACGCAGCAGUGAGGAAUAUUGGUCAAUGGACGCAAGUCUGAACCAGCCAUGCCGCGUGCAGGAAGACGGCUCUAUGAGUUGUAAACUGCUUUUGUACGAGGGUAAACGCAGAUACGUGUAUCUGUCUGAAAGUAUCGUACGAAUAAGGAUCGGCUAACUCCGUGCCAGCAGCCGCGGUAAUACGGAGGAUUCAAGCGUUAUCCGGAUUUAUUGGGUUUAAAGGGUGCGUAGGCGGUUGGAUAAGUUAGAGGUGAAAUCCCGGGGCUCAACUCCGGAAUUGCCUCUGAUACUGU